UACGUAGGGGGCAAGCGUUGUCCGGAAUCAUUGGGCGUAAAGAGCGUGUAGGCGGCCCGAUAAGUCCGCUGUGAAAGUCCAGGGCUCAACCCUGGGAUGCCGGUGGAUACUGUCGGGCUAGAGUGCGGAAGAGGCGAGUGGAAUUCCUGGUGUAGCGGUGAAAUGCGCAGAUAUCAGGAGGAACACCAAUUGCGAAGGCAGCUCGCUGGGACGUAACUGACGCUGAGACGCGAAAGCGUGGGGAGCAAACAGG
rnacentral:rRNA from 1 species